rnacentral:rRNA from 1 species
UACGUAGGGGGCAAGCGUUGCUCGGAAUUAUUGGGCGUAAAGCGCACGCAGGCGGCAAGGUAAGUCAGUUGUGAAAUUCCCGAGCUUAACUUGGGAGCUGCAUCUGAUACUGCCUUGCUUGAGUACGGAAGAGGGGAGCGGAAUUCCCAGUGUAGAGGUGAAAUUCGUAGAUAUUGGGAGGAACACCGGUGGCGAAGGCGGCUCCCUGGUCCGAUACUGACGCUCAUGUGCGAAAGCGUGGGGAGCAAACAGG